rnacentral:rRNA from 1 species
UUAGAACAGCACGUGGGGUUUUGCCGAGAACGGGUCUCGCAGCACCCGCAGGUCCGGGCGCUCGGCCACGGUGUAGCCUUUCGAGAAGUCACCAAACGCAAUCGCGGUCGCAUCCGUCGCAAUGUCAGGCAUGUCUUCGGCGAUCACGACAGGAUAGCCCAGCAAUCGCGCCGGCUCACCAGCAGCCAGACCAUCCGACCACAGGAAACGGCCAUCGGCAUCCUUCAGCUUGCGCACGGCUCCGGCGGUCUUCGAGUUCAUCACGAAGGAACCAUUGGCGCGGUACUGGGCGCCCAGGGCAUAAACCAGGUCGAUCAGCGCGUCACCAUCGUCGAAGCCACCAUCCACACCGGUCGCGACAUAGCCAAGAUUGCCCCAGGACCAGCUCGCAUUGGCGACGAUCGGGUGGGUCAGCAUACCGGUCGGCUUGUCGACACCAUCACCGUUGACAAACGCCGCCGCCUCGGCAUGGGCAAACUUGUCGGCAAUCCGGCCCGCCAGCCAGCCUUCAACAUCAAAUGCGCUGUCAUCCAGCAGCCGCUGAGAAGCCUUCGGCAUCGCCGACAACUCGUGCAGCGGGAUCGAGAUGCGAUCCACCGAAGGCGUGCCAGUCUCCGCCGUAGCGGUGGUCUCAUCGGCCCAACCGGCCCCCAGCUCGGUAUGGUCGAUCAUCACGUCAUAGGCGCUCGCCUCGACAUUCACCACGUUGGCAAUCGCCCGGAUCGACGCGGUCGAUUUCAAUACCGAGUUGAUCGCCUCGGCGGUCUGCGGAUCGACCAGAUAGCC